UGAUUUUCCGGUUGAUCCUGCCGGAGGCUACUGCUAUUGGAAUUCGACUAAGCCAUGCGAGUCAAGGUGUCUUCGGACGCCGGCAUACGGCUCAGUAACACGUAGGUAACCUACCCUCAGGACUGAGAUAACCCCGGGAAACUGGGGCUAAUAUUAGAUAGAUAAAAGAUACUGGAAUGUUCUUUUACUCAAAGCUUUUGCGCCUGAGGAUGGGCCUGCGUCCGAUUAGGUUGUUGGUGGGGUAAUGGCCCACCAAGCCUAUGAUCGGUACGGGCAGUGGGAGCUGAAGCCCGGAGUUGGGGACUGAGACAAGGCCCCAGGCCCUACGGGGCGCAGCAGGCGCGAAACCUCUGCAAUGCGGGAAACCGUGACAGGGGAAUUCCAAGUGCUCAUGCAUUGCAUGGGCUGUUCUUUGGUCUAGGUAACCAGAGGAGUAAGGGCCGGGCAAGAAUCGAAUUCCCG
rnacentral:rRNA from 1 species